CACUGCUAUCGGGGUUCGAUUAAGCCAUGCGAGUCGAGAGGGUUCAGACCCUUGGCGCACUGCUCAGUAACACGUGGAUAACCUACCCUGAGGAGGGGGAUAACCCCGGGAAACUGGGGAUAAUACCUCAUAGGUUUCAGAUGCUGGAAUGCUCUGAAACCGAAAUGCUCCGGCGCCUCAGGAUGGAUCUGCGGCCGAUUAGGUUGUUGUUGGGGUAACGGCCCAACAAGCCCGUCAUCGGUACGGGUUGUGAGAGCAAGAGCCCGGAGAUGGAUUCUGAGACACCAAUCCAGGCCCUACGGGGCGCAGCAGGCGCGAAACCUUUACAAUGCGAGCAAUCGUGAUAAGGGAACCCCGAGUGCCUGAAACCAGGCUGUUCAGGUGUUUAAAAAGCACCUGGAGAAAGGGCCGGGCAAGACCGGUGCCAGCCGCCGCGGUAAUACCGGCGGCUCGAGUGGUGGCCGCUAUUAUUGGGCUUAAAGCGUUCGUAGCUGGGUUGUUAAGUCUCUUGGGAAAUCUCACGGCUCAACCGUGAGGCGACUAAGAGAUACUGGCAAUC
rnacentral:rRNA from 1 species